UUUAAAACAGUGGGCCUCUAAUGCUCCCUUGUAAAUUGUUACACACAUCCCAAAUGCUCUUUUGUAGUGUGUUACCAUGUUUAGCUCUUGAAUGAUCACAUCAGUACCCUCAGAUUGUCCAUUGCCUCCCCUGCACUGUGGAUCCUUCUCAGUGCAAAGACUGUCCUGAGUGUGGAUUGGGAAGAGCGACCACCUCGACUUUAAUGUUGUAUUUAGCUCAGACAAACUGCCAGAGAAAAGGAAAAUCUUGCAAACCCAUCUUAAUGAGGUAUGCCAUAUCCAUAUCCUGAUUAAAAGAACUGCUUAAAAGAAAA